CUGAAACUUGCAUUCUAUCGAGUGGCCAGCAGGGGGCGACGCUUCUGGUUGCAAAAAGAAGUCCAUUGGAAAUAAUGGCAGCAGAGAGUUGAUCAGAGCUCGGUGGGACCAUGCAGGUCGCAGUUCAGCGGCCACAACACGAGCCAUAACUCAGCCUCUGCAGUGUCACAGGCAGCAGGCAGGCCCAUCCAUAACCAGCCUGAACACCAACACCUUCACACUGAACUCCCAACAAGCCUCCCCCAAACAACAGAUGAAGAUACUCUUGUUUGUCUCCUGGAUACUGAGGAUAAUUUAACUUUCAGAGGCUAAAAUAGACUCAAUCUAAAACUCGAGUCUAUGGUGAAAACUGCUGCGAAAUUCAACAGAUAUUGCCUCUGCUGUUUACCCAACUGUGUCUGCUCUUUCCGAUCAGAUAUGAAGUGCACAAAAUCAGCUGUAUUGUACUCUAUAUAUAUAGUGACCAGCUCUAGGAAGGACUCUCUAACAAUUAAAUCUUUCGUAAAUCAGA